UAGGGAAUCUUCCACAAUGGGCGAAAGCCUGAUGGAGCAACGCCGCGUGUGUGAUGAAGGCUUUCGGUCGUAAAGCACUGUUGUAUGGGAAGAACAGCUAGAAUAGGAAAUGAUUUUAGUUUGACGGUACCAUACCAGAAAGGGACGGCUAAAUACGUGCCUG
rnacentral:rRNA from 1 species